CUCGCCUCAGCCUCCCAAAGUGUUGGGAUUACAGGCGUGAGCUACUAUGCCUGGCCGUAUGAUGCAUUUUAGACAAUCAAGUAAAGAUGUCAAAUGGGCAGCUGGACAUGCAAAUCUGAAGUACAGAAGGAAAUCUGAGUCAGAGAUAAAAUUUAUAAUUUUAUUAGAGUACAAAUUAUAUUGAAAACACAGACUAUAUACGAUUGCCAAGGAAGUACAAUCAGAGAACAGAUCCAAGGACCAAGUCUUAGAACUCUUCACUGUUAAAAGGUUAAGAGAUAGAGGAGCAACCAGGAAAGGAGAAGACUGAGGAGUGGCCAGUGAUAUGGAAUCAAAACUGGGAGUUAAGAAAAUGUUUCAGGGAGAAUUGAUUUUGGUUAAUUUGUCUUGGGGUCAUUCUAACUCUUUACUUUUGUGUUAUCUCAUUAUGAAUUUUAAAGUUAAAAAUUAUAUUUAACCUAUCAUUUUAGUUGUUUUUUGGGGAAGAUUGUUCAGAAAUUAUAAUCCAUACAAUGUCAGAAAUGGAAAUUGUACCAACCCUUUUUUCAAUAUUAUAAAGAAAAACCCUGGCUGGACGCAGUGCCUCAUGCCUUAUAAUCCCAGGAUUUUGGGUAGCUGAGUGGGGAGGAUCGCUUGCGGCCUCAGGAGUUCAAGGCCAGCCUGGGCAACAUAGUGAGACCCUGUCUCUACAAAAAAAAAAAACAUAAAAAAUUAGCUGGACAUGGUGGCACAUCCUGUCGUCCCAGCUACUCAGGGUGGGGGUGGGGAUGGGGCAAGGGGUGCUCUAAGGUGGGAGGAUCACUUGAGCACAGGAGUUUGAAGCUAUAGUGAGCUGUGAUUGCACCACUGCACUCCAGCCUGAGUGACACAGAGAGAUCCUGUCUCAAAAUAAAGUCUAAAUUUAAACUAUACUUAAAAAAAAAGUACUGGAGUUUCACUCUUGUUGCCCAGGCUAGAGUGCAGUGGCAUGAUCUCGGCUUACUGCAGCCUCCACCUCUGGGGGUUCAAGUGACUAACCUGCCUCAGCCUCCCGAGUAGCUGGGACUGUAGGCACCUGUCACCAUGCCCAUCUAAUUUGUUUGUAGUUUUAGUAGAGACGGGGUUUCUCCAUGUUAGCCAGGCUGGUCUCCAACUCCUGACCUCAGGUGAUCCACCUGCCUCAGCCUCCCAAAGUGCUGGGAUUACAGGCGUGAGCCACCGUGCCCAGCCAAUAAUUUUUUUUUUAGAGAUAGGUUCUCGCUAUGUUGCCCAGACUGGUCUCAAGCUCCUGGGCUCAAGCAAUCCCCCGCCUUGGCCUCCUAAAGUGCUGGGAUUACGGCAUGAGCUACUGCACCCAGCCAAGUGAUACUCUGGGCACGUAUUUCUCUCAAUCGAUAGCUACUUAGACUAUCAUAUCAGGGUUUUUCUUUUUAUUUAUUUAAUUUAUUUUUGAGACAGGGUCUUGCUCUGUUGCCCAGACUGGAGUGCAGUGGUGCAAGCAUAGCUCACUGCAGUCUUGAUCUCACAGGCUCUAGCAAUCCUCUUGCCUCUGCCUGCCUAGGCUGAGGGGCUACAGGACUACAGGGACCGAGGGGCUACAGUGCAGCUGGGACUACAGGUGCACACCACCACACCUGGUUAAUUUUUAAAAUUAUCUGUAGAGAUGGUGUCUUGCUAUAUUGCCCAGGCUAGUCUCAAACUCCUGAACUCAAGCAAUCCUCCCACGUUGGCCUUUCAAACUGAUGGGAUUACAGGCAUGAGCCAUUGUGCCCACCCUAAAUUUAGACUUUAAAAAUAAAUGUAUAUUUUACUCAUUUCAACAGCAUCUACAUAUUGUUGAAAACAUCUUCAUUUAGACUUGCUUAUUUAAGCAUUCAACAAACACUUAUUGAACAUCAACAAUGUACUGUCAGAUAGGUUUCUGAUUUCAUGGAGUUUACCUUGUAGUGAAGGAGGGGCAAAGAAAAGGUAAGAUAAUCUCAGAUAAUGACAAGUACUCUGAAGAAAUUAAAAUAGGAUAUGAUAGAAAACAUUACUUAAGAUGGGUGUUCAGGGAAGACCUCUCUGAGGGGAUUGCCUUUAAGCUGAGACUUGAGUGACAAGGAGUAAGUGAAAGUAUCAUCUGCCUACAGUCAAGGAGUGACACAUAUACACAUAAAUUUAAGUCCCCAGAUUAAGAACCACUGUCAGCCAGGAGCAGUGACUCAUGCCUGUAGUCUCAGCACUUUGGGAGGCUAAGGUGGGAGGAUUGCUUGAACCCAAGAGUUUGAGACCAGCCUGCAUAAGAGGGUGAGACUCCAUCUCUACAAAAAUAAUAAAAAAAUAAGCUAGGCAUGGUGAUGCGUACCUGUAGUCCCCUUAGCUUGUUCAGUUCAGGUCACGUGAGCCAAGAUAUUCCUUUCUUGGCUCUAAACCAUAGGUUUGAGUUUUUGUCAGUAAAAUAGGGCCAAGAGCCUGGAUUUUCAGUCUAGGGUGCUGGAAAGGUUAAUUGAUGCCUGUAACAUUCUUUAAGAUCUUUAGAUGAAAGACUCGGGGCUGUAUACAGAAUUACCAAGGGCUUGGAAGCUCUUCCCUUCCAAGCCCCAGGGAAAAUCCCUUCAUAUCAGUAACCUAGGCCUUUCCUCUCCAGUCUGUAGCUGUGGGACAAUGGUUCUCAAACUUUUGCAGGCAUUAGAAUCAAAGGUUGUGAUGUGAAUUCCCAGGCUCUCUGCCUGAGAUUCUGAUUCUCCCUGAGGUUCUGAAUUCUUACCUUCUUAGUUCUGUAUUCUUCUGUACCCUUGUCUGGUGUCUCAUGCUUCCCAAUACUCUACAUUUUUGUCUCUGCAAAUGGAUCUGAGGGUGUACUUGUCCAUAUAAACUAUUGUCAGAGACAUCUUUGGCUUUUUUUUUUCCCUGAAGGCAAUCCAGAGCAGAGAUUGGGGAAGGCAGGAAUGUGUCUGUAUCUACUUCUCAAAUGUACAUUGACAUUCAUUAGGAGGAGAGUUUGGGAUAAUUAUUUGAAUGAAAGGAGGGAGGAAUUGCUGACUGGCACAAAAUGAGAGAAGUCAAAUCCAUGAGUGUUUUGGUUGAAGAAUAUGAAGAAAAUCUGGCUCAACACAGCUAUGUAGUUGGAAAAGGAAGAAAUACUUCAACAGAUUUUUCAGAAAACUGGAUAUUCCCUUCAAUACACCAAAAUCCAACAACUGUUAGUUUCUUAAAGGUUGAGACCAUAACUAUAAAAUGUCCAUACUCUGUUAUAUUAAAAUCCAUUGGUCUAUCACA